ACAGGGAGCACAAUGGGGUCCAAGCCUGUCCAAGCCUGCUGGGCCACAGCACCGGUUCCAGACUCUCCACUUUUGCCAGGACUGCCCUGAACUCCUUGUGAGCAGCAAGAGAGUGAUGAGGGCCAAGAGAGAGAAGCUGACGACCACCAGCCACAUCUUGAACAGGGACCUGCUGCUGCUGCCUGAGACCCUUGAUGUCCAUCUGUACCUCUCCAGGAGGGCUGCUCUGCAUGGGAGGGAGAGACCAAGGAAGAGCCUGUGAAGAUGGGGCGGCUGGGAUCCCUCUGUAUAUACUUAUAUUUAGAGAUGUGUAUAGUUAUAGUUAUACCUAGGUAGUUAUAGGUGUAUAGAUAUUUACAUAUGUAGAUUGAAUAUUUGUAUAGAUAUAUUUAUAUAUUUAUCUAGUUAUAUAUGUACCUAGUUGUAUUUAUGUAUGUAUCUAGUUGUAUUUAUAUAUGUGUGUUAUAUUUCUAUCUGUAUUUAGUUAUAAUUACAUAUGUGUGCAGUUGUAUAGCUAUAUAGUUAUAUUAUUCUAGUUAUAGGUAUAUGGAUUUUUAGAUGCAUAUAUUAGUAUAUGUAUCUAGUUAUAUUUAUGUACGUAUAUUGCUAUAUUUAUGUAUAUUGUUGUAUUUUCAUUAUAUUUAAAUAUGUAUAGAGUUGUAUAGCUGUCUAGUUAUAUUGAUGUAGUUAUAGGCCUAUGGAUAUUUAAAUUGGUAUAUUGAUAUUUGUAUAUUUAUACAUAGGUUCACUAUGUAUAUAUUUAUAUAUGUAUUUAUAUAGUAUAUUUAAUAUGUAAUUAUAUUUAUAUCUAUAUUGUUAUGGUUAUGUGUAUGUAGUUAUGUUUCCGUAGGUACAGAGUUGUAUAGUUUUAUAAUUAUAUUUAUUUACUUAUAGGUAUGGUGUUAUUUGGAUAGGUAUAUUGAUAUUUUUGUAUUAGUUUAUAGCCUGUACAGUUGUAGUACUCUGCAAUAAAUUAACUUUUUUAACU